AGAACGAACGCUGGCGGCAUGCCUAACACAUGCAAGUCGAACGAAGCCUUCGGGCUUAGUGGCGCACGGGUGCGUAACGCGUGGGAAUCUGCCCCUCGGUUCGGAAUAACAGUUAGAAAUGACUGCUAAUACCGGAUGAUGACGAAAGUCCAAAGAUUUAUCGCCGAGGGAUGAGCCCGCGUAGGAUUAGCUAGUUGGUGAGGUAAAGGCUCACCAAGGCGACGAUCCUUAGCUGGUCUGAGAGGAUGAUCAGCCACACUGGGACUGAGACACGGCCCAGACUCCUACGGGAGGCAGCAGUGGGGAAUAUUGGACAAGUGGGCGAAAGCCUGAUCCAGCAAUGCCGCGUGAGUGAUGAAGGUCCUUAGGGUCGUAAAGCUCUUUACCCGGAUGAUAUGACGGUACCGGAGAAGUAAGCUACCGGCUAACGUCCGUGACCAGCGAGGCGC
rnacentral:rRNA from 1 species